GGACUCCACAGAAGGUGUCCGUCCUGGCUCUCCUUCAGCCCCAUGAAGCUUUCUUCAAGCCUUGCUGAUAGAUAGGGACCUGGUGGGCGCUGACCAGUGUGCCGGGGGACGCAAGCACCAAUGUGAAGCUGAAGAGAGUCCUGGAGACAGGGGUCGGUGAGACCGAGUCUGCCCAGGCCACACCAGUGGGCGGGUUGUGGCCCUGGGCCUGGGGAGGGUCGCUGUUUGAGAGGAGGACCCAGCUUUAUAAAAUGACUCCGGAUGAGCCUGGAACCUCUUGCAGAAACAAGACAGAGAGAGUUUGGAGAGGACUUCUGGAGUUGAAUCUAUCGAGGAUCACUGGGAAAUCUUGGUGGAAUUCCUUUCAACAUUUUAAGUAACAUUUUCUAAGUGCCUAGUUAAUUCAAAAUGACCUUUG